GCCAAAAAAAAAAAAAAAAAGAAAAGAAAAAGAAAAGAAAACGAAGAAAAAAAAGAAAAGCAGAGAAAGAAAAAAUCAAAAUCAGAAGCAGAAGAGGUCCUAUUUGCCCCCACCUCCUUUUCUCCAGUUUUGAAGAAAAUUUUCCUUCUGUUUUAGGACCAGUAGCUCCUUUCCCAACUGUGUCACUCUUUUUUGCAAGGGCCAUUCACACUUGAGUAUGAACUAGGCUCUCUUCAAAUGGAGUCCACGUCUGGAGCAGGGUUGGGGGGAGUAGAGCUGCACAGGGGGUGUGGGGGAGUAGGCACUGGUGUCUGCCGUGCUGCUGGUAGAGGGCAGAAGCUGAGGGGCGCAGAUCCCUUCUACCAGCUCUCACACCAGGAACCAUGUGCCAUGGGUGCUGAUCGAGGAUGAUGCCCCAAAGUCCCUGGACUAACACUUUCCUAAGUCCAGAGGUUUGGGUUCAGGGCAGCAAAGUUGGGUACAGCUCAUCCUUGGAGAUCAGAACGCCAUCAGACAGGAUGCUGCCAAGCUUUGUCCCACCUUAGGGCCUUUACCCUUGCUGUACCCUCUUCCUGGGAUGCUCUUUCCCCAGAUUUUCCCAUGGCUGGCUCCCAAAUGUCACCUCCCAGAGGGGCCUUCCCUCCAUCGACAUUAGUCCUUCCUCCCACCUUCACCUCUACACAAGCUCAUCACCCGCUUUACUUUCUUAAUAGCAUUUACCACUCUACAAAACGCUAUUGUCUGUCUUUCCCUUUAGCGUGUAGGCCCUCUGCACCUCUUGGUUCCAGAACUCCCCGCAACCUGCGCGGUCCUACUCAGCCCAGCGCUAGCCCCCGGCGCCUCCUCGGCUCCCGCAGCCUCUGAACUCCUAACGCGGAUGUCUCCUACAGUGCUGCCGCCCUGAGCUCCCCCUGGCGGCCAAAGAAUCUCACUGCUCCAGCCCGGCACAAACACGUGGACACCGCCUUGGACCCCAGUCCGCUUUAUUCCGGAGGGCGGGAGACUGAACAGCCCAACCGAGGGGGCGAGUUAGGAGGUAGGCGGAGUCUUGUGUGUGUGGGAGGUCCCGGAGGCGGCUGGUGGGCGGGGUCUAAAGGGAGCGGCCAGUAAGGAGGGCUCGCUCGCUGUUCAGGGCCUGUGGAGUGGGCGCGUUCCAGGACGAGGGGGCGUGGCCCACCGUGCGCCGGCAGGUGGGCGGGGCUUCGGUGGGUCAGGCGGCACCAGAGCGGCCUACAUGCCGGGCACAGUCCCGUUGGUCUCCAUGUCGGUGAGGUUGCCCCGCAGGUCCUGCUCCUCCUCGAAGGCCUUGAACAGUGAGUUGAAGUUGCCGGCUCCAAAACCCUGGAGCGGGAGAAAGGAGCCAAGGCCCCCGGGGCCCGAGGGAGGCCCCACCUGGAUCUGGGACUUCUUCCUGCCCGGCGCUGGCUCGUUAAUGGGCAUUUUGAUGGACUCCUCGUAAUUGGCCACCACGAUGGACCGCAGAGAGCUGUACUCCGUGUGCACCUGCGUGUCAUCCACGGACCAGAAACGGUGGAACUGCAGGUUCUUCAGAUGAGAACAUUGAGGCACAGAGAAUUUAAGUCACUCACCUGAAGUCACACAGCUAAUAAGAUAGAGACCCAGCAGUCUGCCUCUGGAAUCUACACUCUGAACAUCUAAACUGCCUCUUGAAUACAGCGUUUGGUACAGUCAGGCCCAAGAAAUGAUAAUUGUGACCUCGUUUCCUCUUUGUAACAACUCAGUGAGGUGAGGAAACUGAGACUCAAGAAGAUGAAGACUUGCCCAAAUAAUAAAUUGUCGGGACUUGCCUGCUAGCUCAGUGGUUAAGAAUCUGCCUCCCAAUGCAGGGGACAUGGGUUCGAGCCCUGGUCCGGGAACAUCCCACAUGCCGCAGAGCAACUAAGCCUGUG